rnacentral:rRNA from 1 species
AGUAAUGCGUGACCAACCUGCCCCAUGCUCCAGAAUAGCUCUUGGAAACGGGUGGUAAUGCUGGAUGCUCCAACUUGACGCAUGUCUUGUUGGGAAAGUGUUUAGUGGCAUGGGAUGGGGUCGCGUCCUAUCAGCUUGUAGGCGGGGUAAUGGCCCACCUAGGCUUCGACGGGUAGCCGGCCUGAGAGGGCGGACGGCCACAUUGGGACUGAGAUACAGCCCAGACUCCUACGGGAGGCAGCAGCG